rnacentral:rRNA from 1 species
UCCGUUGGUGAACCAGCGGAGGGAUCAUUACCGAGUUUACAACUCCCAAACCCAAUGUGAACGUUACCAAACUGUUGCCUCGGCGGGAUCUCUGCCCCGGGUGCGUCGCAGCCCCGGACCAAGGCGCCCGCCGGAGGACCAACCAAAACUCUUAUUGUAUACCCCCUCGCGGGUUUUUUUAUAAUCUGAGCCUUCUCGGCGCCUCUCGUAGGCGUUUCGAAAAUGAAUCAAAACUUUCAACAACGGAUCUCUUGGUUCUGGCAUCGAUGAAGAACGCAGCGAAAUGCGAUAAGUAAUGUGAAUUGCAGAAUUCAGUGAAUCAUCGAAUCUUUGAACGCACAUUGCGCCCGCCAGUAUUCUGGCGGGCAUGCCUGUCCGAGCGUCAUUUCAACCCUCGAACCCCUCCGGGGGGUCGGCGUUGGGGAUCGGCCCUGCCUUGGCGGUGGCCGUCUCCGAAAUACAGUGGCGGUCUCGCCGCAGCCUCUCCUGCGCAGUAGUUUGCACACUCGCAUCGGGAGCGCGGCGCGUCCACAGCCGUUAAACACCCAACUUCUGAAAUGUUGACCUCGGAUCAGGUAGGAAUACCCGCUGAACUUAAGCAUAUCAAUAAGCGGAGGAA